CCCACCCACCCCUCCCCCCAGGUUCCGCAAGACCCGGGGGCAGGGCCCGCGGCGGGGGCGGGACUUGGCUGGCGCGCGGCUCCGCCCCCACUCGCGACUCUUUGGGACCGCAGAGUCCGGUGGAGCCCCACGAUGGCCUCUACUGAUCGCCCUCCGCCCAAGAUGGAAAGUGCUGGGCAAGUCUUCUCUAACAAAGCAGCUCCUCACCACCUGACUCCUUUGCUCAAGUAAUGUGGCUGGAAGGCCAGACAGUAACUAGGCAGUGGCAGCCUCCCUCCAGGCGAUGGCUGCUUGGUGGGCAGAGCUCCUGCUGCGUGUUGGCCCUCUCAAGGCCAAACAAUUCCUCUUUGUGAUGCUCAGGAAUAAGACUGGCCUCCCUGGAUGGCAGGUAGGUGCGUGCUGUAGCUGCUCUGCGUCCCCUCCACCCUCUGUCAGGCUUAGAGGGGUCCUGGCUUUGUGCCCAGCUGGGCUUCUGUCUGCCUGCCCCCGCUUGCAGAUGCCUGUCAUUCUCUAUGGCAUAUCCCUUCAGGUCUGGCCUUCCCCUGCCUUCCCUGCACUCUGUCUCCCUCAGGCCUAGCUAAGGACAAGCCUUGGUAUGUGGAAGGUUCCCAGGUUCCUAUGGGGGCGUCCUCUGGCCCCGGGUCCACUGGACGGGCCCUCGGCCAGUCCCCAAGUGAGGACUGGCAGGCACGCCUCUCCCUACGCAGGCCUGUCACCAGGAGGCUGAGGAUCGGGGUGCUCGGACUGAAGCCCAGUACUUUGGGAUCAGCGCCAGACACUGCUGGUGUGGCCUUUGCCUUCCGGAGUGCCACACAAGUGAGCGUGGGGACAGUGGCGGGUGGGAGGGAAGAAACCCCCGAGGCGGACUUGCACCGGCCCCUUCCCUUCUGGGACGCUCCCCAUGGACCCUCCACCCCAGCCGGCCCACGUCCUCCUGUCCCUGGGCACCCCCAUGAGGCGUGAGGUGGCUGGGCUCUGUGGUGGGGAAGACAGAGCCAUGGCGGCUUCUGGUGUCAAGACUGACAGGACUGCACAGGCUAUGAGACACCGUGAGCCCAUUGGAGUCCCCGAGCCAAGAGGAGCUCGUUCUGAGAGGCUUCCCAGGGUGAGGUGGAAUCGUCCAGGCCUUCCUUCUGCCCACAAGCCCAAACUGCACGAGCACGAGCACACCCACAAGGCAGAGAUGGAGGAGGCGGCUUUUGGUACCAGAGCGACUUGCCAAGAAGGGGAAAUGGGGCAGGCGGGCUGUCCCUAUCACAAGCACGGGGACCAGGCUGCAGUCCUCGGGCAGCCUUGCCCCGGCUCUCUGGGCCUCCUGCCUGGUUGGCACUGAGCAGUAAUUUUUUCCAUCUAACACUGGCUACACCACCCACCCUAGUGAUACCACCCCACUCCAAUAGUGGGACUGUCACAGUUGGUUCAACAGAAGUUCUGCUGGUUCCCUUUUGGGGCCCUGGCUCACAUGCGUGGAGUCAGACCAGAGGAGUCACUCCGGCAGCACCGGCGGGAGGCAGCCCAUGGGCAACGCUGGUCUGUCCUGCAGAGUUGACACCUGGCAGCCGCGAGCUUUCGGUGGGAACAGCCCUGCGCAACUGUCCCAAGGGGACUGGCGGCUGGUGACCUGCUAGGACUUUGCCCCUGGCCUGUCCUCUGGUCUGAGGAGGGAAGGUGACCUGGCCUCCACACAGAAUAAGCAGCAGCUGCCCAGGGAGCCCUUGUCCUGUGCACUGCACCCUGGCUGCCACGGGAUCUUUUGUGGGCGACCUGGUCCCAGUGCGGUGAAGCUCAGGACCAAGGCCACAGUUGGCAGAACUCUGAAACAUGGGAAGCAACUGGGAAGCAGAAUCCUGCUCACAGCAGGCCCUGCAAGCAAGAGGCUCCCAGAGGGUUUAGUGAGCCUUGGGGGCCCGGCUUCCCACGUCCAGC